UUAAGAAAGGUUAAUGGGCCAUGGGUGUAUGGUAACUAGAGAGAGUGUGCAAAAGAUUGCCUUUGGGCCCUGGAACUUUUCAUCCUUUGGCCCAAAUUCUCCAAGAAUUAUCCAAGAAUCGGUUUUAACAGGAAAAAGCCAAGGACUGUGUCAACGCAACAACACCUUUAGUAACCCAGGGAACGAAAUUUUUACGAAGACUUACAGAAACGUCGCGAAGCAACUCGCACUUCAACCACACACACCCUCUCCGUCACCGCAUCGUUGCUAGAAAAAUGGGAUCCGCUUCGAUUCUGCUUCGAUUUGAAUUCAAGAAUGGCUUCCUAUUCUGUCUGACUGAGACGAGGAUGAAGAACUUCGUGUUCGCCAUUGUGGAUUGAGAUGAAGAGAGCGGAAUAAUUGUUGGUCUAUGAAGGUGUUGUUGCGUUGCCGACGAAGAGAAUGAAUCAACGAAGAAUCCAGAGUAAUUUCCGCGAGAUCUCGAACGAAUCUGUAUCCGAUCCGAAGUCCGGCCAAAUCGUAAGCUCCGAUGAUCCUUCUUCUUCUUCUUCUUCUCGUUCUUAGUUUGUUUCUCUGAAUUCUGUGAAACUCUUUUGGCUAUGGAGUUGUGGUUUUUGGUUUUUGCUACCUCUUCAAUCUCUCUUUCUGUUUCAUUCUAUGAAGGUUGUGUGUAGUUAAAAUGGUGAGUGAAGAUUGGUGAGGUUUGAAUGGUUCAAAGUUGACGGAAGGUUUGGUGAUUUGUGAAGUGGAGAUUUUGAGGAGGGUUGUUGAAUGAUGGUGAAGAUGAUGGAGUGAAGUUGGGGGUUCUGUUAAGGGUGGUCUUAUUGAAGGUUGGGGCGUCAAGAAGCUGUUGUGGGCGUGAGGCUCCGUUAGCCGGUUUUCAGAAGAAAAAAUAGUUAUUUUAACUUUCCGUUCCAUCCCCUUUUUUUCUAUUGGAGUUUGUUAUGAGAAGUAAAUCAGCUCGGUUUUGGGAGGUUUUCUUUGUAGGGUAUUCAAGGAUUGGUUUUGUCAUGUGGAGAGCGAUUGGAGGUCCUUUUUCUUUCAAUGUCAGUUGGAAAUCCUGAGUUAGAGUGUGGAUUUGGUUAGUGUCGUGAGGUUGUAACGGUCGGGAUUCAGUUAUCCUUUCUGUCGGAGGUUAGAAUUUGUUUUUUGAAGACACUCUGCUAGUUAUCAAUGUCAGUUACAAUGUGAUUGCAAUUUUACUGGACAUUCUGUUAGGGAGGUUAGAAAUCCGUACAGGUCAUUGAAGGGUUAUUUUGAAUCGGUUAGAGAAGGGUCUUUGAAUGCUAUAAAUUAGAAGGAACUUGGAAUUCUGCCGGUUUUUCUCAAAGUUGGUUCUCAGUUUGGAAGUCAAGAGAUUUUGUUCAAUCUUUUGUGUGAGCAGAUAACUUUUUGGAGUUUAUUUCUCUAUUUCAAUUGUGAUGCAGGGUCAUUGGUUUUAUGUUUUUUCUAUUAUGCUCCCAUUGAGAGGUUUUAUGUUUUUUCUAUUAUGCUCCCAUUGAGAGCUUUUUCUUCCAA